rnacentral:rRNA from 1 species
CAAUAGCGUAUAUUAAAGUUGUUGCAGUUAAAAGCUCGUAGUUGGAUUUCUGGCUGGAGCGAUCGGUCCGCCCCGCAAGGGGUGUGUACUAGCGUCGUCUCCGACCAUCCUUGUGGGAACUGUGCGGCCGUUAACUCGGUUGUAUAUGGGAACACAUCGUUUACUGUGAAAAAUUAGAGUGUUUAAAGCAGGCUUAAGCCGUUGAAUACAUUAGCAUGGAAUAAUAAGAUAGGACCUUGGUACUAUUUUGUUGGUUUGCGUACCUAGGUAAUGAUUAAUAGGGACAGUUGGGGGUAUUCGUAUUCAAUUGUCAGAGGUGAAAUUCUUGGAUUUAUGGAAGACGAACUACUGCGAAAGCAUUUACCAAGGAUGUUUUCAUUAAUCAAGAACGAAAGUUAGGGGAUCGAAGAUGAUCAGAUACCAU